CAGCCGCCGCGGUAAUACGAGGGGGGCAAGCGUUGUUCGGAAUUACUGGGCGUAAAGCGUGCGUAGGUGGUGGUUUAAGUCCGUUGUGAAAGCCCUGGGCUCAACCUGGGAAUUGCAGUGGAUACUGGAUCACUAGAGUGUGGUAGAGGAUAGUGGAAUUUCCGGUGUAGCAGUGAAAUGCGUAGAGAUCGGAAGGAACAUCUGUGGCGAAGGCGACUAUCUGGGCCAACACUGACACUGAGGCACGAAAGCGUGGGGAGCAAACAGGAUUAGAUACCCGCGUAGUCCCUGUCUCUUAUAC
rnacentral:rRNA from 1 species